AGAGUUUGAUCAUGGCUCAGAUUGAACGCUGGCGGCAGGCCUAACACAUGCAAGUCGAGCGGUAGCACAGAGAGCUUGCUCUCGGGUGACGAGCGGCGGACGGGUGAGUAAUGUCUGGGAAACUGCCUGAUGGAGGGGGAUAACUACUGGAAACGGUAGCUAAUACCGCAUAACGUCGCAAGACCAAAGUGGGGGACCUUCGGGCCUCAUGCCAUCAGAUGUGCCCAGAUGGGAUUAGCUAGUAGGUGGGGUAACGGCUCACCUAGGCGACGAUCCCUAGCUGGUCUGAGAGGAUGACCAGCCACACUGGAACUGAGACACGGUCCAGACUCCUACGGGAGGCAGCAGUGGGGAAUAUUGCACAAUGGGCGCAAGCCUGAUGCAGCCAUGCCGCGUGUGUGAAGAAGGCCUUCGGGUUGUAAAGCACUUUCAGCGGGGAGGAAGGCGGUGAGGUUAAUAACCUCACCGAUUGACGUUACCCGCAGAAGAAGCACCGGCUAACUCCGUGCCAGCAGCCGCGGUAAUACGGAGGGUGCAAGCGUUAAUCGGAAUUACUGGGCGUAAAGCGCACGCAGGCGGUCUGUCAAGUCGGAUGUGAAAUCCCCGGGCUCAACCUGGGAACUGCAUUCGAAACUGGCAGGCUAGAGUCUUGUAGAGGGGGGUAGAAUUCCAGGUGUAGCGGUGAAAUGCGUAGAGAUCUGGAGGAAUACCGGUGGCGAAGGCGGCCCCCUGGACAAAGACUGACGCUCAGGUGCGAAAGCGUGGGGAGCAAACAGGAUUAGAUACCCUGGUAGUCCACGCCGUAAACGAUGUCGAUUUGGAGGUUGUGCCCUUGAGGCGUGGCUUCCGGAGCUAACGCGUUAAAUCGACCGCCUGGGGAGUACGGCCGCAAGGUUAAAACUCAAAUGAAUUGACGGGGGCCCGCACAAGCGGUGGAGCAUGUGGUUUAAUUCGAUGCAACGCGAAGAACCUUACCUGGUCUUGACAUCCACAGAACUUUCCAGAGAUGGAUUGGUGCCUUCGGGAACUGUGAGACAGGUGCUGCAUGGCUGUCGUCAGCUCGUGUUGUGAAAUGUUGGGUUAAGUCCCGCAACGAGCGCAACCCUUAUCCUUUGUUGCCAGCGGU
rnacentral:rRNA from 1 species